AAUGAGGUAAGUGGUGGUGAGUGACACCCGUGAUGACCAAUCAGCAGUGAGUAUUGGCUAUAUUAGAGCUGGUUGGCUUUAGCUUGGUAUGCGUCACGUCCGGACCCUCCCCUUUUCGCUGUGUUGAUGGUGGCUUACGCUUGGCUUUCCAUCCGUGCAGUGGUGUUGUUACUACAAUCUAGCCCUCCUGUUCUUCUUGAUGUAGUUUUACGGUUGCUUUAGCGAGGAGCUGUUGACUGCCCUUUCCGCGUAACCGUGGGUGAUCUGAAUGCUGUGCAUGCUUGGCCGUGGCUCGAUACUGAAGCCUACCUAAAACUUUUUAUCUAUCCGCUUGUGGUAAGUCGAGGAGCUGAGGUCCCCACGGGUGAAGGAUCUGGUGGUGGUGGUUGUACUAUCCCAACGUUUGCUGUGUUACACCUUUUUGGAGUGUAUGAUUUGUAAUCUAAGUUCACGGUGUGGUGUGUAUGUGAAGUGUGCUCUUUGACAACGUGCGCCGGUGAUCACUCCUGUGGGUAACCUCAGCCCUGUAUGUUGUAUUUGUUUUGAUUUAUUCUUUAUCCAGCUGCCACUUACCGCAUAACUUCCAGUAAGAAUAUUGUUGAAAUCUGAAGUGAUGCGAUCCGUCUUGUCUUGACAUUGAACUGAUUGGAGGUGUAACAUACUCCUUUUAAAGAAAAAUUAACUGUUCUAUUUUUUUUAUUAUUAUUGAUUAAUAAAUUUUGUAUUUUUGAUACUCAUGUUCUCUGUCUGCCUUUAAUUAUAUAUGAGAAGUGAACCUGUGUGACCUAGUGGUCAUUUUUGUUUCCUGGGUAGUUCCCAGGUGGCGUAGUCAAAUUCCUCUGCAAGUAGGUGAACUUGCAUUGAUAGCUGUAGAGCGUCACUUCGCCACAUUUGGCGUAGUCUCGGCAGGGUCUCUAUUGUGUAGUGCAGAGACGUGAGUAUCAUUUUGUGGUUAGUGUUGGUAUUUUGUGUGUCUGUUUUUGUUUUCUUUUUCUCUUUUUUUUGCAGAAACCAGGCAGCAGUAUUCUAUUUUGUGAGUUAAUGUGAGGAACAUCCCCACUGGGUCUUGUAUUUUCUUCAGUAGUGCUUGGCUUUCCAUCCGUGCAGUGGUGUUGUUACUACAAUCUAGCCCUCCUGUUCUUCUUGAUGUAGUUUUACGGUUGCUUUAGCGAGGAGCUGUUGACUGCCCUUUCCGCGUAACCGUGGGUGAUCUGAAUGCUGUGCAUGCUUGGCCGUGGCUCGAUACUGAAGCCUACCUAAAACUUUUUAUCUAUCCGCUUGUGGAGCUGAGGUCCCCACGGGUGAAGGAUCUGGUGGUGGUGGUUGUACUAUCCCAACGUUUGCUGUGUUACACCUUUUUGGAGUGUAUGAUUUGUAAUCUAAGUUCACGGUGUGGUGUGUAUGUGAAGUGUGCUCUUUGACAACGUGCGCCGGUGAUCACUCCUGUGGGUAACCUCAGCCCUGUAUGUUGUAUUUGUUUUGAUUUAUUCUUUAUCCAGCUGCCACUUACCGCAUAACUUGCAGUAAGAAUAUUGUUGAAAUCUGAAGUGAUGCGAUCCGUCUUGUCUUGACAUUGAACUGAUUGGAGGUGUAACAUACUCCUUUUAAAGAAAAAUUAACUGUUCUAUUUUUUUUAUUAUUAUUGAUUAAUAAAUUUUGUAUUUUUGAUA